rnacentral:rRNA from 1 species
UACGGGGGGGGCAAGCGUUGUUCGGAAUUACUGGGCGUAAAGGGCUCGUAGGCGGCCAACUAAGUCAGACGUGAAAUCCCUCGGCUCAACCGGGGAACUGCGUCUGAGACUGGCGAGCUCGAGUGCAGGAGAGGAACGCGGAAUUCCAGGUGUAGCGGUGAAAUGCGUAGAUAUCUGGAGGAACACCGGUGGCGAAGGCGGCGUUCUGGACUGCAACUGACACUGAAAAACGAAAGCCAGGGGAGCAAACGGG